AGAGAGGUCAAAGCUUCCUUAUUUGGUCCUCAAUGUGGUGCCUAGUGUUUUCAUUCAAGAAACCCUAGGGUGUGGAUCCAAUUGACUUGGUCAAAACUAACUCAAAUUAGUUUAUGGAAAUCAGGUUUAGAUGUCAUACAUCUAAUGCAUCCAAACCCAUUUGGGUGCAUAUGACUUAAGCCCAAAGCUUGACCCAAAUUCAAUUGAACUCAAAUCCUUAUUUGAUUC
rnacentral:lncRNA from 1 species